CAAAAUUCUACUGGGAAAUGGUGGGUCGAUUUAUUCAAGACAAUUUUGAACUGCACAUUAUUUUCAGGAAACAUGUUUUGAUCAUUUUUAACAAGAAAUGACAUUAUGCAUAGACGUCUACUUGAAUAGAUUAGGUGGACUUCUUUAAUAAGGAAAAGAGCUCCCAAAACCACUGCAGCCAUCUUGACCUGGUUCCCCGACUGCCUGAUUGGAAUAACACUGAAGCACAUCUUCACUUCACAGGCACCUGUUUAUUUUCUGUUUAUUUUUAGUAAUGUGAACUAUUUUUUUACCUAAAGCCAACUUUUCACGAAAACACUUUGGACACAAAUUUCUUGGUUUACAAUGUUAGGUGAAGUACUUGUCAAGCUGGAUACAUGUACAUAUCAACGGAAAAAUUAAAAUGCCUUGAUACUAAUAAUUUAGUAAUAAAAUAUAAAAGAAAAACAAUUCAUUUCCUUCUCCCAAAGAAUUAAAAAUCAUUUGACUAUACCAGUGUAAAAAAUGACAAAAUAAAAGUGAAGGGCAGAAGUUUAGUGUCAAACAAUUUCAGUUAAAAACAAAAGUGCUUCUCAUCAACAGUUUCAAUGUUCCCUGUUCGCAUUAGUUAAGAAAAUGAGGAAAUGCAUUUAAAUGUAUUUUUUUUAAAAGUGAUAUUCUAACAGGUACAACAGUUUUUACAUGGACAAAACUUCAAUACUUGCACCUAUCAUAAGGGAAAGUGGCACCAUCAUAGUACAAGUCCAUCAUGUUUUUGCACAAACAUUGUGGCACGAAGUUAACGACUAUGAAUACUGAAAUGUCACAACUUAAUAUACACUUGUACACCGUUUUUGAGACCAACUACAUUGACACUACUAGUCAAAUCGUGAUUUCCGUUCGUGUAAGAAACAACAAUCUGAAUAGCUAUCAAAUAUUGGAAAAAAAGUACCCCAAAAGACAAUAAUGACCGACAAAACCCUGUAAAUCGUCGCGUCAGUGAAACAAGGUCGUAACUCCUUUCUGCUACAAAGUCGUAUCUCGACGUCCAUUGACUUUGUGUACAUCCAGGUUAUUUUAAGUGAGAUACAACCUUUUGACAUUCUGAAACACGGGUUUUCAGUACGGCCCAUUUUAGGAGAUACGACCUUGUUGCAUGGACACGACGAAAUGUUGAUCACUUCCAGAAAAAAAA